rnacentral:rRNA from 1 species
UAGUCCACGCCCUAAACGAUGUCAACUAGUUGUCGGGUCUUAAUUGACUUGGUAACGCAGCUAACGCGUGAAGUUGACCGCCUGGGGAGUACGGUCGCAAGAUUAAAACUCAAAGGAAUUGACGGGGACCCGCACAAGCGGUGGAUGAUGUGGAUUAAUUCGAUGCAACGCGAAAAACCUUACCUACCCUUGACAUGGCAGGAAUCCUUGAGAGAUCAGGGAGUGCUCGAAAGAGAACCUGCACACAGAUGCUGCAUGGCUGUCGUCAGCUCGUGUCGUGAGAUGUUGGGUUAAGUCCCGCAACGAGCGCAACCCUUGUCAUUAGUUGCUACGAAAGGGCACUCUAAUGAGACUGCCGGUGACAAACCGGAGGAAGGUGGGGAUGACGUCAAGUCCUCAUGGCCCUUAUGGGUAGGGCUUCACACGUCAUACAAUGGUACAUACAGAGGGCCGCCAACCCGCGAGGGGGAGCUAAUCCCAGAAAGUGUAUCGUAGUCCGGAUUGGAGUCUGCAACUCGACUCCAUGAAGUUGGAAUCGCUAGUAAUCGCGGAUCAGCAUGUCGCGGUGAAUACGUUCCCGGGUCUUGUACACACCGCCCGUCACACCAUG